UUGACCUCAAAUCAGGUAGGACUACCCGCUGAACUUAAGCAUAUCAAUAAGCGGAGGAAAAGAAACUAACAAGGAUUCCCUUAGUAACUGCGAGUGAAGAGGGAAAAGCUCAAAUUUAAAAUCUGGCAGUGUUUCACUGUCCGAGUUGUAACCUAGAGAAGUGUAACCUGCACUGA
rnacentral:rRNA from 1 species